GGGACACUCAGAGGAGACCGUGACCCAGCGGUGGGUGGGAAGAGCCAUUCCCUCCCCCACGCACAUGAGUUUGUGCCUUACAGCACGAGAGCAACAAAUGCUGUAACAUCCCCCUUGCUAAGCUUCUGGAUCUUUCUGAAAAGAUCACAGAAGUGCUGCUAGCCAGGCUGCUCACUGACCCUGCUUCUGCCCGAGAGCUGGGCACCCUGCAGAUCAUCGUGGGAAGUGCACUGUUCUUCAUGCUUAAGUUCAUCCUAGCUGAGCUUCACGCAGAUCUUAGCCCUACUUGAUUUCUGCCAUAUGCAAGGAGAUCCUGCUGCCUGCUGCUGGUGGGGACUGGGACCGGUGCUGGUGGUGGAGAUGUGCAGUCAUCAGCUGUCCCAGAACUGCCCACACCUGACUCUGCUCAGCAAGACCAUCCAACUAAUCUUGUACCAUCUCAGCAGGUGCUACCCCCGGCUCCCAGUCUCCAUCAGUGGCUUCCUCUCCUCCUCCUCCCAGCCCAGACGUUCUCAGCCCACGGCUGUUUCAGAUCUCUCCUGGCCUUCCAGAUGCCUUUCAGCAUGGGACAACCAUCCAUCCACUUGUUUUCUCUCCUAUUUCUCUCCCUGUGAGUCCAAGCAGACAUCUUUCCAUGCUUCAUUACCUGACGUGGUGGACAAUACCAAACUCAGACCCAUCUUAAUUUUCGUGAAGUGACCUCUCACCUCUCCGGAGCAGUGGGGAACGGUUCUUCUUCAAUUUGCCCUUGCUUUCUGGCACUAAGCUGCUUCCUGAAGAUUACACAGCAAGCCAGGAUCAGAAUCCAGAGGAGCUGAUCCAGGAGAGGACAUGGGGCCAAAAGACCCUGAGGAGUCUGAAGAUGCAGCUUUAUCAGCUUAGCAAAAUUGUUGGUGCCUUGAAUGACAAAGGCUGCAGGCCCUACAUGCCUGAGCUCUGGGACAUGAGGACCAACCCGAGCCUGAGGAAUCCUUGUGAGUCGCCACUGCCGGUGCCAAAUGUGCCCUGUACAGCGCCGGCCUCUUCGGAAAAAGCUGUGGACGGGGAUUUCUAAAGCAGCUGAGGUUGUGGUGGAGCGGGCACGGGUUUGGGAAGAGGAGCCACGCUCCCCUCCCCAGGGGUGGCUGUCACCGAAACCAGACGGCGAAAACCCUCAGCGCGGCUCCCGAGAAACGGUGCACGGCACAAAGUCACCUCACGUGUAAAAUGCCCGGGGACCCUCGUGGGGCUAAAGGGGAGACGCUGUGGGGUUUGCCUUGAUUUUUUUCCCCUUUAUCCCUGUGGGAGUGGGGAGAGAUGGAGGUGGGGGAAUGCUUUCCCUGCGCCAGCGCUGGGGAUGAAAGCUUCC